AUGUGCAGCUCUGUUAUUGCUCAACUGCAAUCCUCAGGAGUUCCUGAAAGUACGGUGCAGGGUUUAGUUGGUUCAAUGGAGGAACUGGUCGAUGACAUCCAUGCCCAUGCAAAAGAAACCGUUGUUGAAUGUUUUUCAUCUGAAGCAUCCGGAGACACAUUGAAAAAAGUUCAGGAUUGUUUUGGUCAGCUUGAAAAUCCAUUUUCAUCUCUUAACACAGAAUCGAAACGAAAGAAGCACUUAGAAGAAAAAUGGAAAAUAGUGGAACCAGUGGAGUAUAUUCUUGGUGUGCAUUUUGAUACACGCAGAGAUAGAACAACAGGAACAUAUAGGCAAGUUCCUGUAAACGACAAGUUCAUGUAUGUACCCAUCAUGGGGUCUCUUUCAUCUAUGUUUAGGAACAGGGAACUUUCUAACAGUUUCCAAAAAACUAAACCACACCAGGAGGGUUUUUACAGAGAUGUAAAUGAUGGCUCAUACUUCAGGAACCACAUUUUAUUCUCACAACAAGAAAAUGCUUUGCAGAUACAGCUCUACUACAAUGAUUUUGAAACUGCUAAUCCAUUAGGCUCAAAAAAGGGAAUUCACAAACUUGGCUGCAUUUAUUUUAUUUUGAGAAAUCUUUCCCCAAAGCUUAAUUCUGUGUUGAUGAACAUACAUCUUGUUGCCCUCUUUCACUCGGAGGAUUUAAAGAAAUAUGUGUUUGAUCCCAUUCUAAAGCCACUUCUCAAUGAUUUAAAGAUUUUAGAGGCUGAUGGAAUGCAGGUGCCCUUUCAACCCACACCUUUGAAAGGUUCAGUUUUUCAGGUUACAGGUGACAACUUGGCUAUACAUGGCCUUUUUGGUUUUGUCGAAUCGUUUAGUGCAAAGUACUGUUGUCGCUUUUGUUUAACUGAAAAGGGAGAGAUGCAAUCAGUUUUCAGUGAAGAUCAUACAGGUUUAACUCUACGUUCUAAAGCCCUUCAUUCAGAACACUGUGCUGCCGUUGAACAAAAUCCAGCUUUGGCCUCAACAUUUGGUGUGAAAAAAGCAUGUCCUCUCAAUUCCCUCCAGCUGUUCCAUACGUCAGACAACUACGCAGUAGAUAUAAUGCACGAUCUACUGGAAGGAGGGGUGCAGUACGAGUUAAAGCUGGUGUUUCGGUACUUGAUGAAGAACUCAAUAAGCUCAUUAAGCUCAUUGUCAGAAAGAAUCAUGAGCUUUAACUAUGGAUUUACACAGAGAAAAAACAGGCCAAGUGGGGUAAAACUGGACGAUGAUAGCAACAAUUUUGGCCUUAGUGCUGUUCAGUCAUGGUGCCUCUUGCGCAAUACCCCAUUGAUGUUUGGAGAUUUAGUUAAGAGGAAUGAUAGCUGCUGGAACUUGCUGCUCCUCUUAAUACAAAUCGUCAACAUUGUCUUUUCACCUAUUGUAACCCAUGGUAUGACUUGCUAUUUGAAACAUCUGAUUUUCGAUCAUCACAAGCUUUUUAAAUCUGUCUUUCCAGAGCGAAAUCUGCUUCCAAAGCACCACCACAUGAUACAUUACCCAAGGUGUAUUAGAAAGAUUGGGCCACUAUUACACAUGUGGUGCAUGAGGUUCGAAGGCAAGCACAACUUUUUCAAAAGGUCUGUGAAGAACUUUAAAAACAUCACAAAAACACUGGAAAAGAGACAUCAGAAUCAGUUGGCUUUUCAUUUUUGA
ensembl:lncRNA